GAUGAACGCUGGCGGCGUGCCUAACACAUGCAAGUCGAGCGAACAGACGCGUAGCUUGCUCCUCUGACGUUAGCGGCGGACGGGUGAGUAACACGUGGAUAAUCUCCCUAUAAGUCUGGGAUAAUAUCGGGAAACCGGAGCUAAUACCGGAUGAUAUACUGAACCGCUUGGUUGAUUAGUGAAAGACGGUUUUGCUGUCACUUAUAGAUGGGUCCGCGCCGCAUUAGCUAGUUGGUAAGGUAACGGCCUACCAAGGCAACGAUGCGUAGCCGACCUGAGAGGGGGGUCGGCGGCCCUGGAGCUGAGACGCGGUCCAGACUCCUCCGGGAGGCAGCAGUAGGGAAUCUUCCGCAACAGGCGGAAGCCUGCCGGAGCAGCGCCGCGUGAGUGAUGAAGGUGUUCGGAUCGUAAUGAUCUGUUUUUGGGGAAGAACAAAUGUGGAAGUAACUAUGCACGUCUUGACGGUACCUAGUCAGAAAGCCACGGCUAACUACGUG
rnacentral:rRNA from 1 species